rnacentral:rRNA from 1 species
AGCAGUAGCCACGGUAAUACGAGGGGUGCAAGCGUUAUUCGGAAUUACUGGGCGUAAAGCGUGCGCAGGCGGUUAUGUAAGACAGUUGUGAAAUCCCCGGGCUCAACCUGGGAACUGCAUCUGUGACUGCAUAGCUAGAGUACGGUAGAGGGGGAUGGAAUUCCGCGUGUAGCAGUGAAAUGCGUAGAUAUGCGGAGGAACACCGAUGGCGAAGGCAAUCCCCUGGACCUGUACUGACGCUCAUGCACGAAAGCGUGGGGAGCAAACAGGAUUAGAUACCCCCGUAGUCCCUGUCUCUUAUAA